rnacentral:rRNA from 1 species
UGGGGAAUAUUGCACAAUGGGGGAAACCCUGAUGCAGCGACGCCGCGUGAAGGAAGAAGUAUCUCGGUAUGUAAACUUCUAUCAGCAGGGAAGAUAGUGACGGUACCUGACUAAGAAGCCCGGCUAACUACGUGCC